rnacentral:rRNA from 1 species
GAUGAACGCUGGCGGCGUGCCUAAUACAUGCAAGUCGAGCGAACAGACGAGGAGCUUGCUCCUCUGACGUUAGCGGCGGACGGGUGAGUAACACGUGGAUAACCUACCUAUAAGACUGGAUAACUUCGGGAAACCGGAGCUAAUACCGGAUAAUAUAUUGAACCGCAUGGUUCAAUAGUGAAAGACGGUUUUGCCGUCACUUAUAGAUGGAUCCGCGCCGCAUUAGCUAGUUGGUAAGGUAACGGCUUACCAAGGCAACGAUGCGUAGCCGACCUGAGAGGGUGAUCGGCCACACUGGAACUGAGACACGGUCCAGACUCCUACGGGAGGCAGCAGUAGGGAAUCUUCCGCAAUGGGCGAAAGCCUGACGGAGCAACGCCGCGUGAGUGAUGAAGGUCUUCGGAUCGUAAAACUCUGUUAUUAGGGAAGAACAAAUGUGUAAGUAACUAUGCACGUCUUGACGGUACCUAAUCAGAAAGCCACGGCUAACUACGUG